rnacentral:rRNA from 1 species
GUUCGAUUCUGGCUCAGAUUGAACGCUGGCGGGAUGCUUUACACAUGCAAGUCGAACGGCAGCACGGACGCUUCGGUCUGGUGGCGAGUGGCCGAACGGAGUGAGUAAUGUAUCGGAACGUGCUAAUGGCGGAUGCCACUGAAAGCUGGCUAUCUGUAUCGGGGAAAGCGGUGCUUCGGGCCUCGCACUAUGCGACGGCGAUAUCGGUUGGCCUGGUUAAAGGUGAGUAGCGGCUCACCGAGGCGAUCCGUAGCUGGUUUGAAGGACGACCAGCCACACUGGACCAGAGACACGGCCCAGACUCUACAGGAGGCAGCAGUGGGGAAUUUUGGACAAUGGAAACCCUGGUCAGCCAUCCGCGUACGAUGAAGGCCUUCGGGUGUAAAGCACUUUUGGCAGGAAAAAACGGCACGGGAUAUUACUGAUGCAACCGACAGUACCUGCAGAAUAAGCACCGGCCUAACUACGGUAGCAGCAGCGCGGUAUGCGUAAGGUGCAAGCGUUAAUCGGAAUUACUGAAGCAGCGUGCGCAGGCGGUUCGGAAGAAGAUGUGAAAUCCCAGAGCUUAACUUUGGAACUGCAUUUUUUUAACUACCGAGCUAAAGUGUGUCAGAAGGAGGGAGUGGAAUUCCGCAUCUUAGCAGUGAAAUGCGUAGAUAUGCGGAGGAACACCGAUAGCGAAGGCAGCCUACCUGGGAUAACACUGACGCUCAUGCACGAAAGCGUGGGGAGCAAACAGGAUUAGAUACCCUGUUAGUCCACGCCCUAAGCAGUAUAUAAACUAGCUUCUUGGGGCCUUCGGGCCUUGGUAGCGCAACUAACGUAGUUGACCGCCUGGGGAAGUACGGUCCGCAAGAAUUCAAACUCAAAGGUGACGAGAGGACCCGCACAAGCGGUGGAUGAUAUGGUUAAUUCGAUGCAACACGACACCUACCCUUGACAUGUCUAAGAUCCGAAGAGAUUUAGUUUUUCACCGAGGAACCGGAACACAGGUGCUGCAUGGCUGUCGUCAGCUCGUGUCGUGAGAUGUUGGGUUGAUCCCGCAACGAGCGCAACCCUUAUCGUGGAUUGCUACGAAGAGCCACUCUAAUGAGACUGCCGGUAUUCAAACCGGAGGAGAAGUGGGGAUGACGUCAAGUCCUCGCCAGCCAUAUGGGUAGGGCUUCCACACGUCAUACAAUGGUCGGGACGGUCGCCCAACCGCGAGGAACCAAUCCAGAAGCCCGAUCGUAGUCCGGAUCGCAGUCUGCAACUCGGCCGUGAAGUCGGAAUCGCUAGUAAUCGCGGAUCAGCAUGUCGCGGUGAAUGCGUUCCCGGGUCUUGUACACACCGCCCGUCACACCAUGGGAGUGGGUUUUACCAAAGUAGAUUAAGCUAACUGUAAAGGAGGGCGAUUACCACGGUAAGUUCAUGACUGGGGUGAAGUCGUAACAAGGUAA